AGGUUCUAUACUUUAACAAAAAGAUUUGAUUUGCAUUCAACUAUUGAGCACACCACUCUAGAACUUU
rnacentral:tRNA from 1 species